rnacentral:rRNA from 1 species
CCUACGGGAGGCAGCAGUAGGGAAUCUUCCACAAUGGACGCAAGUCUGAUGGAGCAACGCCGCGUGAAGGAAGAAGGCUUUCGGGUUGUAAACUUCUUUUGACAGGGAAGAGUAGAAGACGGUACCUGUCGAAUAAGCCACGGCUAACUACGUGCCAGCAGCCGCGGUAAUACGUGGGUGGCAAGCGUUGUCCGGAUUUACUGGGUGUAAAGGGCGUGUAGCCGGGUUGACAAGUCAGAUGUGAAAUCCUGCGGCUUAACCGCAGAACUGCAUUUGAAACUGUUGAUCUUGAGUACUGGAGAGGCAGACGGAAUUCCUGGUGUAGCGGUGAAAUGCGUAGAUAUUAGGAGGAACACCAGUGGCGAAGGCGGUCUGCUGGACAGCAACUGACGGUGAGGCGCGAAAGCGUGGGGAGCAAACAGGAUUAGAUACCCUUGUAGUC